GACGAACGCUGGCGGCGCGCCUAACACAUGCGAGUCGAACGAGCGAGCGAGAGCUUGCUUUCUCAAGCGAGUGGCGAACGGGUGAGUAACGCGUGAGGAACCUGCCUCAAAGAGGGGGACAACAGUUGGAAACGACUGCUAAUACCGCAUAAGCCCACAGGUCGGCAUCGACCAGAGGGAAAAGGAGCAAUCCGCUUUGAGAUGGCCUCGCGUCCGAUUAGCUAGUUGGUGAGGUAACGGCCCACCAAGGCAACGAUCGGUAGCCGGACUGAGAGGUUGAACGGCCACAUUGGGACUGAGACACGGCCCAGACUCCUACGGGAGGCAGCAGUGGGGAAUAUUGCACAAUGGGGGAAACCCUGAUGCAGCGACGCCGCGUGGAGGAAGAAGGUCUUCGGAUUGUAAACUCCUGUUGUUGAGGAAGAUAAUGACGGUACUCAACAAGGAAGUGACGGCUAACUACGUG
rnacentral:rRNA from 1 species